rnacentral:rRNA from 1 species
UACAGAGGUCUCGAGCGUUGUUCGGAUUCAUUGGGCGUAAAGGGCGCGUAGGCGGUCCGACAAGUCAGGGGUGAAAUCCUGCAGCUUAACUGCAGAAGUGCCUUUGAUACUGUCAGUCUGGAGGGAGAUAGGGGUGUGUGGAACUCACAGUGGAGCGGUGAAAUGCGUUGAUAUUGUGAGGAACGCCGGAGGCGAAAGCGACGCACUGGAUCUCUUCUGACGCUGAGGCGCGAAAGCUAGGGGAGCAAACGGG